UACGAAGGGGGCUAGCGUUGCUCGGAAUCACUGGGCGUAAAGCGCACGUAGGCGGAUUGCUAAGUCAGGGGUGAAAUCCUGGAGCUCAACUCCAGAACUGCCUUUGAUACUGAGAAGCUUGAGUCCGGGAGAGGUGAGUGGAACUGCGAGUGUAGAGGUGAAAUUCGUAGAUAUUCGGAAGAACACCAGUGGCGAAGGCGGCUCACUGGCCCGGUACUGACGCUGAGGUGCGAAAGCGUGGGGAGCAAACAGG
rnacentral:rRNA from 1 species